rnacentral:rRNA from 2 species
CAGUCGAACGAACUCUGGUAUUGAUUGGUGCUUGCAUCAUGAUUUACAUUUGAGUGAGUGGCGAACUGGUGAGUAACACGUGGGAAACCUGCCCAGAAGCGGGGGAUAACACCUGGAAACAGAUGCUAAUACCGCAUAACAACUUGGACCGCAUGGUCCGAGCUUGAAAGAUGGCUUCGGCUAUCACUUUUGGAUGGUCCCGCGGCGUAUUAGCUAGAUGGUGGGGUAACGGCUCACCAUGGCAAUGAUACGUAGCCGACCUGAGAGGGUAAUCGGCCACAUUGGGACUGAGACACGGCCCAAACUCCUACGGGAGGCAGCAGUAGGGAAUCUUCCACAAUGGACGAAAGUCUGAUGGAGCAACGCCGCGUGAGUGAAGAAGGGUUUCGGCUCGUAAAACUCUGUUGUUAAAGAAGAACAUAUCUGAGAGUAACUGUUCAGGUAUUGACGGUAUUUAACCAGAAAGCCACGGCUAACUACGUGCCAGCAGCCGCGGUAAUACGUAGGUGGCAAGCGUUGUCCGGAUUUAUUGGGCGUAAAGCGAGCGCAGGCGGUUUUUUAAGUCUGAUGUGAAAGCCUUCGGCUCAACCGAAGAAGUGCAUCGGAAACUGGGAAACUUGAGUGCAGAAGAGGACAGUGGAACUCCAUGUGUAGCGGUGAAAUGCGUAGAUAUAUGGAAGAACACCAGUGGCGAAGGC